rnacentral:rRNA from 1 species
UACGUAGGGGGCAAGCGUUGUCCGGAAUUACUGGGCGUAAAGCGUGCGCAGGCGGUUUUGUAAGCCAGGUGUGAAAUCCCCGGGCUCAACCUGGGAAUGGCAUUUGGGACUGCAAGGCUGGAGUGCGGCAGAGGAGACUGGAAUUCCUGGUGUAGCAGUGAAAUGCGUAGAUAUCAGGAGGAAUACCGAUGGCGAAGGCAGGUCUCUGGGCUGACACUGACGCUCAUGCACGAAAGCGUGGGGAGCAAACAGG